UGCCUGAAGAAAUCAGCAUCGGCGUCCAUCAUGACCUGGUUUCCUGUUCUGCUCAUGGUCCUCCCUCUCUUCACAGGGUCCCUCUCCCAGCCUGUGCUGACUCAGCCACCAUCAGCAUCAACCUCUCUGGGACAAACAGCCAAACUCUCCUGCACCCUGAGCAGUGGCUACAGUAAUUAUGUGGUGGGCUGGUAUCAGCAGAGCCCAGGGAAGAGCCCCCGGUUUGUGAUGCUAGUCGGCCCUGGUGGCAUAGUGGGAAACAAGGGUGCCGGGAUCCCUGAUCGCUUUUCAGGCUCAGGCUCUGGGCUGGAUCGGUAUCUGACCAUCCAGAACAUCCAGGCAGAGGAUGAGAGUGUCUACCACUGCGGGACAGCUCAUGGCAGUGGAAGCAGCUACGUGUAA